UGUUCAUGAUGAGGACAUUUCUUAAAAAAGUCCUUAAACCUUUCCCAAGCUUCAAUAAGAGUUUCAUAUUCAGUUUUCCUAAAAGUGGUGAUGUCAUUCCUUUUUUA